ACUCAAAGGAAUAGACGGGGGCCCGCACAAGCGGCGGAGCAUGUGGAUUAAUUCGAUGCAACGCGAAGAACCUUACCUGGGCUUGACAUACACCAGAUCGGGCUAGAGAUAGUCCUUCCCUUGUGGCUGGUGUACAGGUGGUGCAUGGUUGUCGUCAGCUCGUGUCGUGAGAUGUUGGGUUAAGUCCCGCAACGAGCGCAACCCUUGUCUUGUGUUGCCAGCACGUAAUGGUGGGGACUCGCGAGAGACUGCCGGGGUUAACUCGGAGGAAGGUGGGGAUGACGUCAAAUCAUCAUGCCCCUUAUGUCCAGGGCUUCACACAUGCUACAAUGGUCGAUACAGUGGGUUGCGAUACCGCGAGGUGGAGCUAAUCCCUUAAAGUCGGCCUCAGUUCGGAUUGGAGUCUGCAACUCGACUCCAUGAAGUCGGAGUCGCUAGUAAUCGCAGAUCAGCAACGCUGCGGUGAAUACGUUCCCGGGCCUUGUACACACCGCCCGU
rnacentral:rRNA from 1 species